AAGCGCGUGUAGGCGGAUGAGCACGUCCGACGCUGAAAUCCCCCGGCUCAACCGGGGAAGUGGCCCGGAUACGACUCGUCUGGAGGGAGGUAGGGGGGCCUGGAACUUCGGGUGGAGCUGUGAAAUGCGUUGAGAUCCGAAGGAACGCCCGUGGCGAAAGCGAGGCCCUGGACCUUUUCUGACGCUGAGACGCGAAAGCCAGGGGAGCGAACGGGAUUAGAUACCCCUGU
rnacentral:rRNA from 1 species